UAACGGGAGGCAGCAGUAGGGAAUCUUCCACAAUGGACGCAAGUCUGAUGGAGCAACGCCGCGUGAGUGAAGAAGGUUUUCGGAUCGUAAAGCUCUGUUGUUGGUGAAGAAGGACAUGGGUAGUAACUGAUCUAUGUUUGACGGUAAUCAACCAGAAAGUCACGGCUAACUACGUGCCAGCAGCCGCGGUAAUACGUAGGUGGCAAGCGUUGUCCGGAUUUAUUGGGCGUAAAGCGAACGCAGGCGGGAGAACAAGUCAGCUGUGAAAGCCCUCGGCUUAACCGAGGAACGGCAACUGAAACUGUUUUUCUUGAGUGCAGAAGAGGAGAGUGGAACUCCAUGUGUAGCGGUGAAAUGCGUAGAUAUAUGGAAGAACACCAGUGGCGAAGGCGGCUCUCUGGUCUGUAACUGACGCUGAGGUUCGAAAGCAUGGGUAGCGAACAGGAUUAGAUACCCUGGUAGUCCAUGCCGUAAACGAUGAGUGCUAAGUGUUGGGAGGUUUCCGCCUCUCAGUGCUGCAGCUAACGCAUUAAGCACUCCGCCUGGGGAGUACGACCGCANGGUUAAAACUCAAAGGAAUUGACGGGGGCCNNCACAANCGGUG
rnacentral:rRNA from 1 species